CUCAAGAAGCUUAUAGUAUAAGCGGUGGUCUUGUAAACCACAGAAGGUUUAAGCCCCUUGGGC
rnacentral:tRNA from 1 species